AGGUCAGUAGCUCAAUUGGCAGAGCAUCGGUCUCCAAAACCGAAGGUUGCGGGUUCGACUCCCUCCUGACCUG
rnacentral:tRNA from 1 species